rnacentral:tRNA from 1 species
GCCCUGGUAGUAUAGAGGUCAGUAUGUGGGACUGUCACUCCCUCGACCCGGGUUCGAAUCCCGGCCAGGGCG